rnacentral:misc_RNA from 1 species
AAGUCGUAACAAGGUUUCCGUAGGUGAACCUGCGGAAGGAUCAUUAACAUAUCACUAAGAUCUGUUGGCUGCGGGUGGGCGAGGGCUUCUUUGGCUUGCGUUUUGGCUCGGGUGGAGCUUGCUCCAAACACGAUGUGUUGCUCACACCUGCUUGCAGGUGCUGGCCAAACAAAUAUAGCUGCUGGCAACGGAUCUCUAGGCUCCU